ACUGACCCUAGAAGCACUGAAGGUGUGGCUGCUGUGUCACAUGUGCGUCAGUAGGUGGCAGAAAAGAGACGCUAUGUCUAUGCUCAGCGUUCUGACUUGCUUAUGAGAAACAAACAACUUUUAAAA
rnacentral:snoRNA from 1 species